AGCGAACGCUGGCGGCAGGCCUAACACAUGCAAGUCGAACGAACUCUUCGGAGUUAGUGGCGGACGGGUGAGUAACACGUGGGAACGUGCCUUUAGGUUCGGAAUAACUCAGGGAAACUUGUGCUAAUACCGAAUGUGCCCUUCGGGGGAAAGAUUUAUCGCCUUUAGAGCGGCCCGCGUCUGAUUAGCUAGUUGGUGAGGUAACGGCUCACCAAGGCGACGAUCAGUAGCUGGUCUGAGAGGAUGACCAGCCACACUGGGACUGAGACACGGCCCAGACGCCUACGGGAGGCAGCAGUGGGGAAUCUUGCGCAAUGGGCGAAAGCCUGACGCAGCCAUGCCGCGUGAAUGAUGAAGGUCUUAGGAUUGUAAAAUUCUUUCACCGGGGACGAUAAUGACGGUACCCGGAGAAGAAGCCCCGGCUAACUUCGUGCCAACCGCCGCCGUAAGAC
rnacentral:rRNA from 1 species